GGGAGAAUCAUGGCCGCUGCGGCAGGGGGAGGCCCACGCUCCGAGGAGAUUCCCAAUCCCAAUCCAUCCUGGAUCCCGGUGACUUCCCCGCCGACCACCUCCCCAGGAUGAGGUAACUGAGGCCCAGCGAAGUAACGUGACUUGCCCAAGGUCACACAGCAGACAUGCGGUGAUGCCGGGAUUGGAACCUAUGACCGUUUAACUCCCAGGCUUGGGGUCUAUCCAUUACGCCGUGCGGUGAGAUGCUGAACAGUGAGGGCACCGUAUACUGAAACCUCAAUCUCCCGGCCCAAUUGCCUUUUCCCCUAACCCUAAAGACCGUCGUCGUUUCCGGUGGGAGACCCGCAGACCUACCUUGGAGAGAAGAUCGAGCAGGCCGUCUUUAAAUGACCCAACUCCUCCAGUCUACCGGACGAGUCAGUAAUAAGCAGAGAAGACGAUAAUAAACAAUUGUUA